rnacentral:rRNA from 1 species
UACGUAGGGUGCGAGCGUUGUCCGGAAUUAUUGGGCGUAAAGAGCUCGUAGGCGGUGUGUCGCGUCGGCCGUGAAAACCUGCAGCUUAACUGUGGGCUUGCGGUCGAUACGGGCAUCACUGGAGUUCGGCAGGGGAGACUGGAAUUCCUGGUGUAGCGGUGAAAUGCGCAGGAUAAUCAGGAGGAACACCGGUGGCGAAGGCGGGUCUCUGGGCCGAUACUGACGCUGAGGAGCGAAAGCAUGGGGAGCGAACAGG